UCUGCGAUAGACCUAGAGACUUUUAUUUCAUCUGUUCGAUUUAUUGUUAAAAGUUUUGCUAUUCAGACUUUUCGUAGACAUUUGCAAACAAAUAACAAACCGCGUCCGAAAAAUCGUCGGAUACGUCGGUUUUUCGCAUUACUUUAAAAUUAUAAAUCACAAACGACCCAAAUUGCAUGCACAAGGUACGUUUAAAUAUAAUUAGUUAAUAUUGAGUUUAGUUUCCAUAUUAUCAUCGUC